rnacentral:lncRNA from 1 species
CCCUUGGGCUUGCUGUACAGACUGCUGCCCUGUGGGCUGGCUAGGUUGCUCUCUGCCACCAACCACUGCCAAACGCUGUGGACUAACUGAACGCCUGUGUUACCUGCUGGUCAAAGAUAGUUACUGCAUCUGGAGUAGAAAUCAGGUCCAGGGACCUGUUACUCCUCUGGCGUCCUACAUGUCAACUGCUCACCGUGUCACAGAAAAGAGAAGAGAAGAGAAGAGAAGAGAAGAGAAGAGAAGAGAAGAGAAGAGCGACAAGGCUUCACUGUGUAGCUUUGACUAUACUGGAAUUCACGUGAUGAUCUUGGACUCACAAAGAUCCAACUGCCUCUGCCUCCUGAGUGCUGGGAUUAAAAGAUGGUUAAGAAACACCAGAAAAGAUGGCUAAUAAAGAAAUGACUCUAGUUCUACAACAUGGAACUGAGAGCUCUCUGAAGAUGACAAGAUGCCUGUGUUUGAUCUUUAUCGCUGUUGGGUUACUGGGAGCUUCCAGGUCCACACACCCCCACUCAGGCCGAACCUCAUGGCUGUCGUGGGUUAAAGCUGAGACAAGCCGGGUCACGACAAAAUGGCGCCCGAACUCGGGGCCUGAGAAUGGGGGAAGAAGCCUUGGACACCACGAAACGGACAAGGCAGAGGCUUGGACUAUUCAAAGAGAUAGUCGUUGCAGG